UUGACGGGGCCCGCACAAGCGGUGGAGCAUGUGGUUUAAUUCGAAGCAACGCGAAGAACCUUACCAGGUCUUGACAUCCCUGACAACCCGAGAGAUCGGGCGUUCCCCUUCGGGGGACAGGGUGACAGGUGGUGCAUGGUUGUCGUCAGCUCGUGUCGUGAGAUGUUGGGUUAAGUCCCGCAACGAGCGCAACCCUUGUCAUUAGUUGCUACGAAAGGGCACUCUAAUGAGACUGCCGGUGACAAACCGGAGGAAGGUGGGGAUGACGUCAAGUCCUCAUGGCCCUUACGGGUAGGGCUACACACGUCAUACAAUGGCCGGUACAAAGGGCAGCCAACCCGCGAGGGGGAGCCAAUCCCGUAAAGCCGGUCGUAGUCCGGAUCGCAGUCUGCAACUCGACUGCGUGAAGUCGGAAUCGCUAGUAAUCGUGGAUCAGCAUGUCACGGUGAAUACGUUCCCGGGUCUU
rnacentral:rRNA from 1 species